rnacentral:rRNA from 1 species
AACGAACGCUGGCGGCAUGCCUAACACAUGCAAGUCGAACGGGAUCCUGGCUUCGGUCAGGUGAGAGUGGCGGACGGGUGAGUAACGCGUGGGAACCUGCCCAGUGGUGGGGGAUAACUGCGGGAAACUGCAGCUAAUACCGCAUGAGCCCGAGAGGGGAAAGAUUUAUCGCCAUUGGAGGGGCCCGCGUUCGAUUAGGUAGUUGGUGAGGUAAUGGCUCACCAAGCCGACGAUCGAUAGCUGGUCUGAGAGGAUGAUCAGCCACACUGGGACUGAGAUACGGCCCAGACUCCUACGGGAGGCAGCAGUGGGGAAUAUUGGACAAUGGGGGCAACCCUGAUCCAGCAAUGCCGCGUGAGUGAUGAAGGCCUCGGGUUGUAAAGCUCUUUUGCCAGGGACGAUGAUGACGGUACCUGGAGAAUAAGCCCCGGCUAACUUCGUGCCAGCAGCCGCGGUAAUACGAAGGGGGCAAGCGUUGUUCGGAAUUACUGGGCGUAAAGGGCGCGUAGGCGGCUUAUCAAGUCAGGCGUGAAAUUCCGGGCUCAACCUGGGGGCUGCGCUUGAUACUGAUGAGCUUGAAUGCGGGAGAGGAUAGUGGAAUUCCCAGUGUAGAGGUGAAAUUCGUAGAUAUUGGGAAGAACACCGGUGGCGGAAGCGGCUAUCUGGCCCGUGAUUGACGCUGAGGCGCGAAAGCGUGGGGAGCAAACAGGAUUAGAUA